UGGGGAAUAUUGCACAAUGGGCGAAAGCCUGAUGCAGCGACGCCGCGUGAGGGAUGACGGCCUUCGGGUUGUAAACCUCUUUCAGCAGGGACGAAGCGCAAGUGACGGUACCUGCAGAAGAAGCACCGGCUAACUACGUGCCAGCAGCCGCGGUAAUACGUAGGGUGCAAGCGUUGUCCGGAAUUACUGGGCGUAAAGAGUUCGUAGGCGGUUUGUCGCGUCGUUUGUGAAAACCAGCAGCUCAACUGCUGGCUUGCAGGCGAUACGGGCAGACUUGAGUACUGCAGGGGAGACUGGAAUUCCUGGUGUAGCGGUGAAAUGCGCAGAUAUCAGGAGGAACACCGGUGGCGAAGGCGGGUCUCUGGGCAGUAACUGACGCUGAGGAACGAAAGCGUGGGUAGCGAAGAGG
rnacentral:rRNA from 1 species